rnacentral:rRNA from 1 species
UACGUAGGUGGCAAGCGUUGUCCGGAAUUAUUGGGCGUAAAGCGCGCGCAGGCGGUCCUUUAAGUCUGAUGUGAAAGCCCACGGCUCAACCGUGGAGGGUCAUUGGAAACUGGGGGACUUGAGUGCAGGAGAGAAGAGUGGAAUUCCCGGUGUAGCGGUGAAAUGCGCAGAUAUCGGGAGGAACACCAAUGGCGAAGGCAGCUCGCUGGGACGGUACUGACGCUGAGACGCGAAAGCGUGGGGAGCAAACAGG